GAUGGGGCCGCGACCGAUCAGGUAGUUGGUGAGGCAACGGCUCACCAAGCCUUUAACCGGUGCGGGCCGUGGGAGCGGGAGCCCGGAGAUGGGCACUGAGACAAGGGCCCAGGCCCUACGGGGCGCAGCAGUCGCGAAAACUUUGCAAUACACGAAAGUGUGACAGGGCUAUCCCGAGUGCCAUCCGCUGAGGAAGGCUUUUACCCAGUCUAGAAAGCUGGGAGAAUAAGGAGAGGGCAAGUCUGGUGUCAGCCGCCGCGGUAAUACCAGCUCUCCGAGUGGUGUGGAUGUUUAUUGGGCCUAAAGCAUCCGUAGCUGGCCAAGUUAGUCCCCUGUUAAAUCCACCGAAUUAAUCGUUGGAGUGCGGGGGAUACUGCUCGGCUAGGGGACGAGAGAGGCCGACGGUAUUUCCGGGGUAGGGGUGAAAUCCUAUAAUCCCGGGAGGACCACCAGUGGCGAAGGCUGUCGGCUAGAACGCGCCCGACGGUGAGGGAUGAAAGCUGGGG
rnacentral:rRNA from 1 species